rnacentral:rRNA from 1 species
UACGUAGGGGGCGAGCGUUGUCCGGAGUUACUGGGCGUAAAGCGCGCGCAGGCGGUCUUCCAAGUCAGUGGUGAAAGCCCGGAGCUCAACUCCGGAACUGCCAUUGAAACUGUGAGACUUGAGGAUGAGAGAGGUGAGUGGAAUUCCCAGUGUAGAGGUGAAAUUCGUAGAUAUUGGGAAGAACACCGGUGGCGAAGGCGGCUCACUGGCUCAUUUCUGACGCUCAGGCGCGACAGCGUGGGGAUCAAACAGG